rnacentral:rRNA from 1 species
AUGCACCACCUCGUGGGCGCGCUCCCGCACCGCGCCAUGCGCGACCUCGCCCUCCGGCACGGCCCUCUCAUGCUGCUCCGCAUGGGCGAGCUCCCCGUCGUCGUGGCCUCGUCAGCGGCCGCGGCGAGGGACGUCCUCAAGACCCACGACGCCGCCUUCGCCACGCGUCCGAGAACGAACACCAUCGCCACGCUCGACGGAGACGGCCUCGGCUUCGCUCUCGCGCCGUACGGCGACCACUGGCGCCGCGUCCGCAAGCUCUGCGUCACGGAGCUGCUCGGCGCGCCGCGGGUCCGGUCGUUCCAGGGGACACGCGAGGCUGAGGCGGCCGCCCUCGUCGCGUCCGUGGCCGCCGCGGCGGCGUCCGGGGACGUCGUGAACGUCAGCUCCCUCGUCAGCACGUACGUCGUCGACGCCGCGGUGCGCGUCAUUGUUGGCGACCGGAUCGCGGGCCGCGACGCCUUCCUGGCGUGCCUGGAGGAGGGCCUCAGGUUGUCCUCCGGGUUCAGCCUCGCCGACCUGUUCCCGUCGUCGCGCCUCGCGCGCGCGCUCAGCAGGAGGUCGCGCCAGGUGGAGGCGGCAGCCCAGGAGAUGUCCAGGGUCAUGGACGGCGUCAUCGAGGAGAAACGCGCGAGGAAGGCGGCCGGCAAUGGCAUGGGCAGGGAGGAAGAGCAGGACAUCCUGGACGUGCUUCUGGACGGCGGCGGUACCGCGCCUCUCGACAUCGGGACCAUCCGUGCCGUGGUGAGGGAUCUCUUCGGAGCCGGGAGCGAGUCCUCGGCGUCGACGCUGCAGUGGGCCAUGGCGGAGCUGAUGCGGAGGCCGGCGGCGCUCCGGAGGGCGCAGGCGGAGGUGCGGGGCGCGCUCGCCGGGCAGAGCCGCGUCCGGGAGGAGGCCCUGCAGGAGCUGCCGUACCUGCGGCUGGUGAUCAAGGAGACGCUCCGGCUGCACGCCACGGUGCCGCUGAUGCUGCCGCGGGAGAGCCGCGAGGCCACCCGCGUCCUCGGGUACGACGUGCCGCAGGGCACCAUGGUGCUGGUCAACGCUUGGGCCAUCGGCCGGGACGCGGCGACCUUUGGCGCGGACGCUGAGGAGUUCCGGCCGGAGAGGUUCGAGGAGGGGACCGCGGCGGCGCUGGACUUCAGGGGGACAGACUUCGAGCUCCUGCCGUUCGGCGCGGGGCGGAGGAUGUGCCCCGGGAUCACGUUCGGGCUCGCCGUCAUGGAGCUCGCGCUGGCGAGCCUCCUCUUCCAUUUCGACUGGGAGCUCCCCGGCGGCACGGUGGAACUGGACAUGGCGGAGACGUUCGGGGUCACGGCGAAGAUGAAGAACGACCUGUGGCUGCAUGCUGCCGUCGUCGUGCCACCUCUGUAA